rnacentral:rRNA from 1 species
CAGUACCGUGAGGGAAAGGUGAAAAGCACCCCGGAAGGGGAGUGAAAUAGAACCUGAAACCGUGUGCUUACAAGUAGUCAGAGCCCGUUAAUGGGUGAUGGCGUGCCUUUUGUAGAAUGAACCGGCGAGUUACGAUUUGAUGCAAGGUUAAGCAGUAAAUGUGGAGCCGUAGCGAAAGCGAGUCUGAAUAGGGCGUUUAGUAUUUGGUCGUAGACCCGAAACCAGGUGAUCUACCCUUGGUCAGGUUGAAGUUCAGGUAACACUGAAUGGAGGACCGAACCGACUUACGUUGAAAAGUGAGCGGAUGAACUGAGGGUAGCGGAGAAAUUCCAAUCGAACCUGGAGAUAGCUGGUUCUCUCCGAAAUAGCUUUAGGGCUAGCCUCAAGUGAUGAUUAUUGGAGGUAGAGCACUGUUUGGACGAGGGGCCCCUCUCGGGUUACCGAAUUCAGACAAACUCCGAAUGCCAAUUAAUUUAACUUGGGAGUCAGAACAUGGGUGAUAAGGUCCGUGUUCGAAAGGGAAACAGCCCAGACCACCAGCUAAGGUCCCAAAAUAUAUGUUAAGUGGAAAAGGAUGUGGCGUUGCCCAGACAACUAGGAUGUUGGCUUAGAAGCAGCCAUCAUUUAAAGAGUGCGUAAUAGCUCACUAGUCGAGUGACACUGCGCCGAAAAUGUACCGGGGCUAAACAUAUUACCGAAGCUGUGGAUUGUCCUUUGGACAAUGGUAGGAGAGCGUUCUAAGGGCGUUGAAGCAUGAUCGUAAGGACAUGUGGAGCGCUUAGAAGUGAGAAUGCCGGUGUGAGUAGCGAAAGACGGGUGAGAAUCCCGUCCACCGAUUGACUAAGGUUUCCAGAGGAAGGCUCGUCCGCUCUGGGUUAGUCGGGUCCUAAGCUGAGGCCGACAGGCGUAGGCGAUGGAUAACAGGUUGAU